rnacentral:rRNA from 1 species
GACGAACGCUGGCGGCGUGCUUAACACAUGCAAGUCGAACGGAAAGGCCCUGCUUUUGUGGGGUGCUCGAGUGGCGAACGGGUGAGUAACACGUGAGUAACCUGCCCUUGACUUUGGGAUAACUUCAGGAAACUGGGGCUAAUACCGGAUAGGAUCUCCUGCUGCAUGGUGGGGGUUGGAAAGAUUCGGCGGUUGGGGAUGGACUCGCGGCUUAUCAGCUUGUUGGUGUGGUAGUGGCUUACCAAGGCUUUGACGGGUAGCCGGCCUGAGAGGGUGACCGGCCACAUUGGGACUGAGAUACGGCCCAGACACCUACGGGAGGGAGCAGGGGGGAAUAUUGCACAAUGGGCGGAAGCCUGAUGCAGCAACGCCGCGUGCGGGAUAACGGCCUUCGGGUUGUAAACCGAUUUCGCAUGUGACGAAGCGUGAGUGAAGGUAAUGGGUAAAGAAGCACCGGCUAACUACGUG